ACGAUGAGGGGCAGGUGGAGCUGGCUUGGUCCUCCCGCUUCCCAGGAGCCCACCAGAGAGGUCCCUCACAGGAACAAUGGAUACUCUCACCUCCCAGGAAAUUCCAGAGGACGAGGACCUGUGUGCUGGACCCUCCUAUCACUCAGGAAAUGACAGACAUCCUAGGAGCUCUGGAACUGGGGUCAAAGACCCGAUACUAGAACAAACAACCUCCCAGUGCCCCUGUCUGCAAGGGCUUCAGCAGCUGUAGGCCAGGGACCAGGGCAGAGAUCAAUGUGUCUAUUUCUCAUGAUUUCACAAACCACACACAAGGCAGCAGGGGACAUGUCAGGAAACACUGCAGUCAUCGGAGCUGGACCCGCUGACCAGAGUGACCAGGCUGCAGGAACCCAGAGACCUCACCAUCAGACAGGGAUGCAAGGGCAGAGUUGAGGACAAUUUCAAGCUCUGGGACUCAAUCCGUCACUGCAGCGACCCUGGAACUGGGAUGUGUGCCAUGGGUGUGAGGACCCAGCAUGCAGCGGGCUUCCGGGACAUUUUGCUCCACAUCUUUCUCCCGAAGAGACCUUGCUGUGUUCUGAGUUACCUGGCCGGGUGCUGGCUGCACGGGAGGCAGGCAGAACUUGGCAGUCUGGAGAUGUCUGUGCAGCCACAGCAUCCAGGAGACCUCUGCUCCUCCCCACAUCCACACUGGCCAGGCAACCUGGCCGCUGGGAAGGGGGACUGGGUGACCUUCGGUGGGGGACAGACCUGCCUGUUAGCACAGCACAGCAGGGAACCCCGCUUUACCAAGUCCCAGCUCUGCAAUACCAAGAUAUUCAACCCACCACUAACGUCUCCCUUUCUUUGUCUGUGAAAUACCCCAGCAAAAUGUCUAACUCAGUCGCUGUUACAGUUUACGUAACUAUUAACAAGAUUUUAAAAUGCUCUAGUUGGGGGGAGGGUCUCUAACUGGACCCUAAAGCAAACCCCACCCACAUCCUUCCUGCCAGAUGAGCCUGCGCCCCUCCCCAAGCUCAAAGAGUGGAGCUGUCUAGGGCUGGAACCCGCUUUCCUGACCACAGCCCCCUUCCUGAGCCAGGC
rnacentral:lncRNA from 1 species